rnacentral:lncRNA from 1 species
UAAAUACAGGCAUACUGGUUUUAUUGUACUUCACUUUAUUGUACUUGCACAUCCCUCAGCUUAAAUAAAAAGCUAGAAGUUAUAAAACUGAAUAAGGAAGGCAUGUAAAGACCCAAUUUAGGCUGAAAGCUAGGCCUCCUGUGCCAAACAGUCGGUCAAGUUGUAAAUGCAAAGGAAAAGUUUUUGUAAAAAUUAAAAGCACUACCCCAGUGAACACAAGAGUGAUAAGAAAGUGAAACAGCCUUGUUGCUAUAAAGAAGUUUGAGUGGUCUGGAUAGAAGAUCAGACCAGUCACAAUGUUCCUUUAAGCUAAAGUCUAAUCCAGAAAAAGGCUUAAUUCUCUUUUAAUUCUAUUAAGGUGAGAAAGGUGAGGAAGCUGCAGAAGAAAAAUAUGAAUCUAACAGAGGUUACUUAAUGAGGUUUAAGGAAAUAAGUUAUCUCCAUAAUAUAGAAGUGCAAGGUCUAAUGAAGAAGCUGCAGCGAGUUAUCCAGAGGUCUAGCUAAGAUCAUUGAUUAAGGUGGCUAGGCUACACAAUAGAUUUUCAAUGUAGACAAAACAGCAUUCUAUUGGAAGAUGAUGCCAUCUAGGACUUUUGUAGCUAGAGAGGAAAAGUUAAUGCCUGGCUUUAGAGCUUCAAAGGACAGACUGACUCUCUUGUUAGAGAGUAAUGCAGCUGAUGACUUUAAGUUGAAACCAAUGAUCAUUUACCAUUUUGAAAGUCCUAAGGCCCUUAAGAAUCAUGUUAAAUCUGCCUGUGCUCUACAACUGGAACAACAAAACCUGGAUAGCAGCACAUAUGUUUACACAUGAUUUGCUGAAUAUUUUAAGCCCCCUGUUGAUAUCUACUGUCCAGAAAAAAUAGAUUUAUUUCAAAAUAUUACUGCUCUUUGACAAUGUACCUGAUCACCUGAAACCUCUGAUGGAGAAGUACAAGGAGAUUGAUGUUGUUUCAUUGUCUGCUAGUAUAACAUCCAUUCUGCAACCUAUGUAUUA